UUAGUGGGUUGAGAAAGCGAACAGUGUGCAGAGCUGUAAUCUAGACAUUUAUAAAAUGUGGUAAAUAGUUAGAAUGAUGAAUAAGUAGGUGUGUCCAACUUUGACCGGUUGUGUAGUUUGAGGAAACUAGUUCAAGUUAUUGCACUCAGGCACUUUCUCAGUCGUCUACACCGGGUCCUUCGCUCCUCCUGUAGUGUGUCCACGUGGAGCUCAUGCGCUCUUAAAGCGGUAGACGGGUUCGUUGUACAGCAUAUGGGUGAGUUAAAUGUUAUUUGAUCGGGUUUUAUAGUAAAUGUUUACGACACCAUGAGGACAAGUGUGAAUGUACAUUUAUAUUAAUUUGCAUACGUUAGAUUGCUCCACGUGAGUAGUUCCAAAAAUGACAACAGCUGACUUUAAAUCUAUUUAUUGUAAAAACAGAAGAAAAAAGUGAAGCUAGUUCAAUUAAAAUGCUGUUUAUACUGAAUCCACGCAGACACAGUACAGUUCUCGGUCUUGCCUUUUUGUGUUGCCCAUUCAUUUUCCAUUAGAUGAAUGUGGUGUCUUCUAAGGCGCACAAUAAAUCUUGAAAUAGCCACAUUUAUGAGAGAACACUCUUCAUUGUUCCUCUUGCUUGCGCUAUGACAAGAACAGCAUUCACAAUAAGCUAUAUCCAUGACUUGAACAUUUCUGUGCAUGCUUUAACAAUCAUGUUCUAUCGUUUCAGGUGAGCAGCGUGGACAGGGUCACAGACACCUGGGUGUAUAGUCACAGAAGAGUGGUUCUUUCCAGCGGCUGUAAAUUACCCAGAAUUCAAGGACUAGAGGUUAGUUUUACUAAGAAUGACUCUCAGACGAACUUGGUUUGUUUUGACUUGAUUCAUAUUUUGCUGCUCUGUGAUGAUUUGUAUGGUAUAAUGUGUUGUGUACAUAAAUUUGAGCUCAGUAAGGGCUGGCCGCUGUUUUAUAACUUAUAAUUUUCCGCAUUUAUAUGUUCAUGCUGUGUCCAAGUGUUUCUGUGGUUUAAUAUUUCUCCCUGUUCUCUUCCAGAUGCUGUUUUCUGUAUGUGUGAAUAUGCAUGACAUACUUUUAUAAAUAAAACCUUCUGUUUAACUGUCUGUCUUUUGUAU
ensembl:lncRNA